UUAUUCUAAAAAACCCUUUAAACAGAGAGAAACAGCAAUGGCAAAAACUCCAGUAUUGUUUCCAUGCUUGAUGGUUUUAUGUCUCGUAAUAUUUGCAACAGGGUUUGUGAAUGGUUGUAACUACCCCUGCCAUGACCCAAGUGCUUGUGUUAAAAUGCCCUGUGAAGUUCCUAAUUGCAUAAAGCGAUGCCACAGCCAGUGCUGCGUUUGCCAGUGUCUUGGAAAUGAGAAACCUGAAAUAAAUAUGUAACAAUUCCACGCCUUUGUUGUGGAAUUUAUGAGUAAUAACAUGUUCAUUCUUCUUCAUCAA